ACAUCUAACAACAGAACACCUCAAUCGCUUAGGAGUCAUUCUUGUCUACAUCUGCUCUGGUGGUGAAACAAUGGUGGACUGAUGACAGCUCACUCAGGGCGGGUCUAAGUGAAAUCUGGCAACUGGUCUAUCAAUCUACCAUGCGGAAUGUUUUGGAGUCUCCAAAACGAGAAUUCAACCCUCAGAGGAAGCGUAAAGAGAAAGUGAGUGAGAAUUUUAUCAGAUAAUUACAUUUUUGUGUCAGAGUGUAACAGAAUGGAACUUGUUUGUUGUGCUU
ensembl:lncRNA